rnacentral:sRNA from 1 species
CCCUUGAUGUCGGUCGGAUGGGGGGGGCAGUGCUGGUUCCCUGUGGUGUUGGUCGGAUGGGGGGGCAGUGCUGGUUCCCUGUGGUGUUGGUCGGAUGGGGGGCAGUGCUGGUUCCCUGUGGUGUUGGUCGGAUGGGGGGGCAGUGCUGGUUCCCUGUGGUGUUGGUCGGAUGGGGGGGCAGUGCUGGUUCCCUGUGGUGUUGGUCGGAUGGGGGGGCAGUGCUGGUUCCCUGUGGUGUUGGUCGGAUGGGGGGCAGUGCUGGUUCCCUGUGGUGUUGGUCGGAUGGGGGGCAGUGCUGGUUCCCUGUGGUGUUGGUCGGAUGGGGGGGCAGUGCUGGUUCCCUGUGGUGUUGGUCGGAUGCGGGGACAGUGCUGGUUCCCUGUGGUGUUGGUCGGAUGGGGGGCAGUGCUGGUUCCUGUGGUGUUGGUCGGAUGGGGGGGCAGUGCUGGUUCCCUGUGGUGUUGGUCGGAUGGGGGGGCAGUGCUGGUUCCCUGUGGUGUUGGUCAGAUGGGGGGCAGUGCUGGUUCCCUGUGGUGGUGUCCCUUCUUGCUGUGCAGGGUGGAGGGCAUCUUCCCACGACCAAGGACCACUGACCUUCACCUUUUCUUUGAAGUAUGUUGUAUGUCUCACCCAUUUUUCUUUAAGGUUCUGGUCGUUUUAACUUUUAUACAACAUAUGGGUUGGAGAUAGUGGCCCUCUGAGGAGUGAAUUACAAAUGCCUUUCCCAGCUUAUCUUCGGAUUUUGCUCAUGGCAGUUUCUACCAUGUAAAACUUAUUUUUAUCUCAGUAUAAUCAGUCUUUCCUCUUCCUGCUGCUAAGUGGGUAAGAGCAUGCUCACACUCUGAGUCUUCAUGUUUUUCCUUUCCCCAGCCUGACAUUUACCCCGGUAACUGCUGGGCAUUUAAAGGCUCCCAGGGGUACCUGGUGGUGAGGCUCUCCAUGAUGAUCCACCCAGCCGCCUUCACUCUGGAGCACAUCCCUAAGACGCUGUCGCCAACAGGCAACAUCAGCAGCGCCCCCAAGGACUUCGCCGUCUAUGGAUUAGAAAAUGAGUAUCAGGAAGAAGGGCAGCUUCUGGGACAGUUCACGUAUGAUCAGGAUGGGGAGUCGCUCCAGAUGUUCCAGGCCCUGAAAAGACCCGACGACACAGCUUUCCAAAUAGUGGAACUUCGGAUUUUUUCUAACUGGGGCCAUCCUGAGUAUACCUGUCUGUAUCGGUUCAGAGUUCAUGGCGAACCUGUCAAGUGAAGACACUACUCAUUAUUUUUGUACAUUUUUGUAUAUACUGGGACAGCCUGAAACACUGGAAUCCUUCAUGGACGAGGGCAUAUACAAUGAUGGGACAGUGCCACACUCCUUCAAUAAACGUGGCUGCUGGCCAGAGGACGUGAGCGUGUGAUGGGCGCCUUGGCACCACCUGUUGGGUGCUCACUGCCUCUGCAGGUGCAGAGGGGUCAGCAGCAGGAGAAGCGUGUUGAACACGUGGCUCUCAGACACUCCUUGUUUUUAACGGGAAGCUCUUUGCAUUUGCAUUUCCUCGACAAAGGAGCAAAGCAGAGGAAGCUGAGAGUCUGGCGUGUUCUUGAUGCUUUGGUCUUCAGCCUUGCACUGGCUCUUCUAAAGGACUUUUGGAGGGCAGAUAAUUUCAUCUGUUAAAUCCAACACACAUUUCUUUCAGGGAAAAACAAUGUCACCAAAUUUUCAGAGUUCUAAACUCCUUUCCUUCAAGCCGGGAUUUUCCUUUUUUCAGCACCAGUAGGUACUAAGUCUCCAGACGGGGAAAUAACUAAAAUGUGUUUUUCUGCUUUGUUCGCUCUUACUUCUGAGGAAGGUUUCCAGUCAGGACUCGCUGUACCAAUAUCCGUGGAGGAAUAUGGGAGCGUUUUGCUCUCCUUGUAGGCUGAAGUCAGUCUGACUUGAAGGGGGCUGGUUUGGAUCUAAGCAAACACCCAGAUGGGGUUCUCUGGUCUCAGCAAGGCUUUUCCUGUUGGGAGUCACAGUAAACAGAAACCCAAAAAUCUCAUCUUGGGUGUUUUCAGGGCUCGUUUUGAGUUUUGCUGAAUAAGGAGCGCAAGACGCCCUGAGCCUCCCUCUCACUGGUGGUGAUAAGAGGAGCCGUCUGGUGUGUCAGGGUCACGAACCUGUUACAUUUCAGGACGAUCCUUUUUCCUUCAGCAGCAUUUCUUACUGGCUGUGGCUGGACUCUGCCUUUUAUCACAGCUGUCACCAUUCUCACGUGAUUCUUGUGAGACUCUUUGGUUAUAAUUACUAUUUAAUAUUUAGACUAUUUUACUGAGCAGACUUUAUAAUAAAUGAGAUAUCUACAAGGCACUUAAAGUGUUACAGAUGUUUUACCUUAAGAAUUAUUUAAGUUGUGUUAAGACAGUUUUCAGUGUACCGUAAAUGUUGUGUUUUCAGAAAAAGACAAAACGAUGGUGCUGACUGGUUUUCUGUAUAUUGCACAACAGUCCUCAAAUACACUGAUGUAUGAAACUAUUCAUACAUCAAGCAGCAUUUUUUUCACUCUCCUUAGAAUUGGAACUAUGCAGUUAAGGCAGAUAAAAUGUACAGAUGUUUCAUAUAUUACAGGUUACAUAUAUAAAUCAAAAUUUCCUAUAUAAAACUGAUUUGGGAUUUGGGGUGGAAAUAUUUUGAAUAUUAAUUUAUUUUUAAAGAUGCAAGAUAGGACUUUGUGCAAUGUAUUUUUGUAAAUGCUUUUCAAAAUAUCUGUCUUUGGUAGUGCUUCUUCUGCUGCCACCAAAUUGAUAAGAUGCUAUUAAGAGGUUUAAAUAAAGAGUUUUAAUUUUUAAAAGUG